AUUCUUCCAAAGAGAGAUUGUUAUUAUUCCUCACGAUGACCCGACAGUCUCUGCUUUCUUUUUCCUUUCUUCCAGAAGGAGAUUUAACCAUAGUAGAAAGAAUGGAGAACUAUUAACUGCCUUUCUUCUGUGGGCUGUGAUUUUCAGAGGGGAAUGCUAAGAGAUCUUGUUCUCAGAGGCCAUUCCCAGACCCACAGCAAGAGGGAUUAUGGCUGCAGGCCUCAUGCUCCUUUGUUUUGGAAGAAACUGUUGAGGAGUUAGUAUUUACUGAGCAGCUAAUAUGUUCCCGUCACUAUUGUAACUCAUAAUAAUUAUUGUUAAGUAAUACACGAAAAGUUUUAAAUUUAAAGCAUUCCAAUAUUUUAAAAGUAAAGGGAACAAAAGGCCAAGUGUCCCUUCACUCACUAACCUCUGAUCUUCAGAUUAGCAUGCGUCUUUUUUGAGUUUUUCAGGCAUUUACAUAAAUAGUUAUGCAGAAAUGGAUAGCUUUGCUUCUGUUCUUCAAUUGAAUCUUUAGUAUAGUUGUGCAAGGUGUUUUUUGAUCACUUAGUGUGUCUCCGUUAUCUAGGUUCAUGACAACAAAU
rnacentral:lncRNA from 1 species